rnacentral:rRNA from 1 species
CCUACGGGCGGCAGCAGUGAGGAAUAUUGGUCAAUGGGCGGAAGCCUGAACCAGCCAAGUCGCGUGAGGGAAUAAGGCCCUACGGGUCGUAAACCUCUUUUGCCGGGGAGCAAGGGCGGGGACGUGUCCCGGCCCGGAGAGUACCCGGAGAAAAAGCAUCGGCUAACCCCGUGCCAGAAGCCUCGGUAAUACGGGGGAUGCGAGCGUUAUCCGGAUUUAUUGGGUUUAAAGGGUGCGUAAGGGGGGCGUUAAGUCAGUGGUAAAAUUGAGGGGCUCAACCCAUUCCCGCAAUUGAAACUGGCGGCCUUGAGUGGAAGAGAGGUAUGCGGAAUGCGUGGUGUAGCGGUGAAAUGCAUAGAUAUCACGCAGAACCCCGAUUGCGAAGGCAGCAUGCCGGCUUCCGACUGACGCUGAAGCACGAAAGCGUGGGGAUCGAACAGGAUUAGAUACCCUUGUAGUC